rfam:Candidatus Magasanikbacteria bacterium RIFOXYC2_FTLL_42_28 rifoxyc2_full_scaffold_83, whole genome shotgun sequence.
GGUCCCAUCGUCUAACGGUUAGGACGUUGCCCUUUCAAGGCGAAAAUUCGGGUUCGAUUCCCGAUGGGAUCA